AUCUGGGUGGCUCAAUCGGUUGAGCGUCCGACUUCAGCUUGGUCACGAUCUCAUGGUUUGUGAGUACGAGCCCCACUUCAGGUU
rnacentral:tRNA from 1 species